rnacentral:rRNA from 1 species
UGCACGUCUUGACGGUACCUAAUCAGAAAGCCACGGCUAACUACGUGCCAGCAGCCGCGGUAAUACGUAGGUGGCAAGCGUUAUCCGGCAUUAUUGGGCGUAAAGCGCGCGUAGGCGGUUUUUUAAGUCUGAUGUGAAAGCCCACGGCUCAACCGUGGAGGGUCAUUGGAAACUGGAAAACUUGAGUGCAGAAGAGGAAAGUGGAAUUCCAUGUGU